GACGAACGCUGGCGGCGUGCUUAACACAUGCAAGUCGAACGGACAGGCCCUGCUUUUGUGGGGUGCUCGAGUGGCGAACGGGUGAGUAACACGUGAGUAACCUGCCCCUGACUUUGGGAUAACUCUAGGAAACUGGGGCUAAUAUCGGGUAGGAGCUCCUGCUGCACGGUGGUGGUUGGAAAGUUUCGGCGGUUGGGGAUGGACUCGCGGCUUAUCAGCUUGUUGGGGGGGUAGUGGCUUACCAAGGCUUUGACGGGUAGCCGGCCUGAGAGGGUGUCCGGCCACAUUGGGACUGAGAUACGGCCCAGACUCCUACGGGAGGCAGCAGUGGGGAAUAUUGCACAAUGGGCGGAAGCCUGAUGCAGCAACGCCGCGUGCGGGAUGACGGCCUUCGGGUUGUAAACCGCUUUCGCCUGUGACGAAGCGUGAGUGACGGUAAUGGGUAAAGAAGCACCGGCUAACUACGUG
rnacentral:rRNA from 1 species